rnacentral:lncRNA from 1 species
UUUUUACCAUCUUCUGUCUUUUCCAGAUGUUUCAUUUGAGCUGCUCUGCUCCCCACUGGUGGCUGAGCCAGGCCUGACCAGGGCAGGAAGGGUGAUCAGUAGCCUCACACACAGCAGCUGGUAGAGUCUGAAGGUCACGCUUGGCCUUCCACCAAGUGUCCAAUGUGCUGGGGAUUAGCCUCUGAAUCACAGCCUUUCCCUUCUCCUGCCAUGUUGGCCCAGCCAUACAAGAGGCUCUCUCUGCCCAGCACACAAGUCCCUUGCUGUGACUGGCAUUCUGCUGUGAAAACCAGAUUACUUAUUAGACUUUAUCUUCAGUGAACCUUUGACUAACUUCUGCAUGGGACUGGAAUAUGAUCUGCAUACCUUUCAUUACUGGCCAAGAUUUUCAUUGUGCAUAUUGGAAAGCAUACAGACUUUGGUGUCAGAUACUCAGAGGAACAAAGUCCAGCCUUAACAAUUACUAGCUGUGUCACCUAAGACAAAUUACUCAACUUUGCUGGACUUUGCCCUUCUCAUCUAUGAAAGGGCGUAUUAAGGAAUGGCUCACAUGAAGGAUAUCAUCUAUAUGGGUUUGUAUUACUCCUCCCUUGUUUUUCUGAGGAGGUCCCAUGGAGUAGAUAUUGGUUACAGUGUUUUCAGUUGCAGGAAAUGGUGACUCAAUUCAAAGCAAUUUAAACAGAUAGGAUAUUUCUUGGCUCAUACAAAACAAAAUCCAGAGGUAGGACAGCCACAAAUCUUGUUGAUCCUCCUGCUUAAUUAUGUCAUCAAUAAACAAUGGUCCCUCUGUCUCUCCACACAGCAAUCCACAAAGAAGACUUCAUCCUAAGGUAAAUGCUCUACUUAGUAGUAUGGUUGCUUUGAGUAACAAUUGGUGUCAUGUGCUUCUCUGUUCACUUCCAGAGGGAAAAUCAACAUUUCUCACUGAUCUUUGGAGCCCAAGUUCUUCCUGUUCAUUUCCUUGGACCAAUUUAAGUCAUAUGCUCUUCUUGAAUCAAUAAUUUUAGUAGGGAAAGGCUAGAUGCUGACUGGUCUAAGUUCCUGAACCACCACUGGUUAAUGAAUCACCAUGAUUGACUAAGACCAGUAAAAACCAUUCCUAACUGUAUUGCAGGUAUCUAAUGUGGAAGGGGUGGGGUGAAGGUUGAAGAAUCAGACUGUACAGGGUGAAACGCUUGAGCUUUGGUUUAUAUCCCUACCUGGCAAGUACCAAUGGGGUUACAAUUUCUGAACUGCAAUUUAUCCAUCUAGAAAUGGGGGAUAAAAAUAGUACCUCUCUCACUGGCUAGCUUCACAAGAUUUGUGACGCCCUUAGCCCUGAGCUUAGCAAAUUGUUUACAAAUUCUAGGUGUUAUUAUUUCUUUAUAUGCCUAGAAAUGUGGUGCCACUUGCUAUAUUUGUUUGUUACUUGAUUCCUGGAUUCCUACCACGGACUCCUCUGCACCAGGGUUGCUGAAUUCCAUCUGCACAUUUCAUGCCCUCUCUACAUUGUACCUCUGACAAUUCAGUUGCUCAUGAAGGGUUGACUGGAUUAGUCAUUAGUCCCUUCUCUCUUUCAGUACUGCCCCAUCAAAUCUAGACUUAAAACUCUUAAGUCCUCCCCAGUGACACAGGGUAUUGAGGUCCCAGCUUGCUUUGUGCCAGGGUGUGAUGGUUGGUUUUGGGUAUCAACUUGACCAGAUUAAGGGACACCCAGAUAGCUGGCAAAACAUUAUUUAUUCUUACUACUUCAGUAGGCACUGAACUUGUUCCUCAAAGCCAGGUGACUUGGAGUUUGGUUAAAUGAUUGGGCUGCCCGAGGUGUGAGGACGUUUGCAGAGGAGACUGGCAUGUAAGUCAGUGGGCUGAGUGGAGAAUAUCCACCUUCAAUGUGAGUAGGCACUCUCCAGUUGGCUGAGGGCCUGUUUUUAAAUUCCCAUGGGUUGUACCACUUCUUAAAUAGGGUCUUCCUCUUUUGCUGUGUCACUGUUACCUUAACCUACUGGUGUUACUUUCUCCGCUUUAUACUGACUUGUGUGCAGCUGCCCCCAGGAAGCAUGAUGGUCACCUAGAGUCCAGUGUUGUUUAAAAGAAUCACAGCUGCGUACUUUGAUGUAGACAAAAAAGAGAGAGUUGAGUACAGUUAGGGCAGCUGUGUGCAUGCAGUGCGUGUGCACAUAUGGGAGACACACUUCUCAAAAGGAGACUGUAGACAACACAGCCCUCUUGUGAUGAGAACAGCAUGGCCCUUUUGCUCGGCUUUCUUUGAGGCUGUGCUGUAAGGGUGCUUCUCUUUCCAACCCUGUUGGAAUCUAUAAACUUUCUGGGACCUUGGUCCUUGGCAUGUCUGCCUGGGGGUUUUUGCUUAGAGGAUACUGCUGCUUAUCUUGCUCACUCCUGAUGGCUCACAGUCUCUUUCUGCUUACUUUUGCAUCAGGGCUGAGCUUCUGUGACUCCUUCGGCCCUCCAGCCACUGCGGAAGUUAUAAGCCCUCAAGAGACAGCAGAAAGAUUAAAGGGAUGAGCCUCUGAAAUUGUAUGAAUCUGGGGCUUUGGGGAGCCGAGCUUGAUUUACAUUGGAGCUUUGCUGGAAUCAUUUCCCAUGGACAUAUUCAGGAGGCUGUUGGAGGCUUCCACUGCCCUCCUCCUUUUCAAGGUAGCUAUUUCAGAAAGUUAAUUAACCUGGGAUAGUUCCCUCCUUUGGAGCUUGAGAGAGACCCAGAAUUUGUCUUUUUAAAAUGACCCAUAUCCUGGAAAAUGGGGAAGACAAAUCCUCAUCUUCAUCCUCUUUUAUCUUAGUAGGCUCAUUUUUUUCUUCAACUCACGAUAAUAAUUUAACUCCCCUCUUUUAGAUUUAUUAACGUACAUAUUUAUUAGUUGCUUGUUUUGUACAAAUUGCUAUGUUAGGGACUCUGAAGAAUAUAAAGAAGUAGAAAACUCGGUCUUUGACCUCAAGGAAUUUGCAAUCUUAAUGUGAUUAUAAAACUUGAAAUGAUAACUGACACAUUUUAGACUAUGUUAAGUCUCAGAUGACUGGAAUAGGUGACAAAUGCCGUAAGAAUUUCAGCACAUAUUUCCCUCUCUCUCAUCUUUGUCUUUAGAGUUAAGCAGUGUGAGUCUGAAUCUUGAGUCACACUCCUGUGUGACCUUGGACAAGUCACUUGUCCUUUCUAAGCCUCAGUUUUUCAUCUGCAAAAGGGGAAGAAAUAAUGCGAGCCUCUCAGGAGUUGACUGAAUUAAAUAAUGUAUAAAAAGCAUUUAACACCUUCCCUUGCACAUACGAGUGCUCAAUAAAAAC